AUUGAACGCUGGCGGCAGGCCUAACACAUGCAAGUCGAGAGAGCGGGGGACGGGUGGGUAAUGUCUGGGAACCUUCCUGAUGGAGGGGGAUAACUACUGGAAACGGUAGCUAAUACCGCAUACCAUCAGGUAUGCCCAGAUGUGAUUAGCUAGUAGGUGGGGUAACGGCUCACCUGGGCGACGAUCCCUAGCUGGUCUGAGAGGAUGACCAGCCACACUGGAACUGAGACAGGGUCCAGACUCCUACGGGAGGCAGCCGGGGGGAAUGUUGCACGACGGGCGCAAGCCUGAUGCAGCCAUGCCGCGUGUGUGUAGAGGGCAUGCGGGUUGUAAAGCACUUUCAGCGGUGAGGCGUGACCCGCAGAAGAAGCACCGGCUAACGCCGUGCCAGCAGCCGCGGUAAUUC
rnacentral:rRNA from 1 species